AAAAAAAAGUUGACAUAAUGGAUACUGUUAUGUCUUCUACAUCCCAAAAUCACCACCACUUCCUUUAUUAUGCAUUCCUCCGCGUUAGAUGAUAUAAAGUUGAAUUAAAGGGAACCACAAGCUUAUAUAUAGGUGCGAAUUUGGCUUCUUGAAUCCAUACCAAGUCUUCUUUUAAUUUCCUAUCAUUGCCAUAGCAAGAAGCCAUCCAAGAAAAUGUCGUCAAAAAAUUACAGUUUUCUCAGUUUCCAUGGCCUUUCAAGAAAACCCUCGUCAGUAAAACCAGCCCAGUCAAGAAUCUACAGAGAAAAACAAACCUCACCAAAAUCUUUCCAACCAAAU
rnacentral:misc_RNA from 1 species